GCACGCAACCCUCGUACUCGUACCACAGCAGAGCUCCUCCUCCUCCUCCUCCACCACCACCAUCGAGUCUAUCAUCUCUUCUCCCGUCCUCUUAUAUACAUGUACCCUCGGAGUGAAUAAUAUAGACGGCAAAUUCGCGGCCCGACCUCGACCCCCUCCCCCUUACAUUUUACACGUACACGUGCACCCGUCCUCCCCCUGCAGGGUGUAUCAAAUAUAUAUAUAUAUAAAUAUAUGUAAAACAUACAUAGAUAUUAUGGGUAAGUCAUCAGCUGUGCCGCUGUUACACGCAGCUCUUCUCCUAGGAGAUUGACGUCACGGGGCUGGUGAUGCAGCUGGCGAGGAGAGGCCGCCGAUUGAUACAACCUGCACCGCCACAAUAGUGCAUCAAGUACAUCAUACGUGUACAUAAUAUACAUAUACUUACUUCGCGAGCGCUGAAAUAUAUAUUUUUAUUAUUGGCGUCUCAGCUGAUGGUGCGAGUCUUUUGUUGUCUCGGUGCUGCUCUACUCAAGUAUAUAUAAUAUCUGCUUUGUUGUGACGACUGCGGCGACCUUAUCAUAUAUAGCCAGCCUCUCUCAUCGUGGGUGCAAACAUUUUAGCGCAGCUGUCCGGGAAGAUGAACCAAGAAUCGCGCCUCCACCCGUUGAACAAUGCCGAUGCACUCGCCCCAGUGGGACAACUGCAGCUUCCAACGUGCGGGGGGGAUGAAUUGUCCGGGAGAACGAUGCUUUGAAUAAGUGGGAACGGUUUAUACACAGACAACGGGCAAUAGCGUCAUCGGAGGGCAUGAUGACGAGUCCGCGGUGCCGGGCGUCCUCGUCUCAGCGGCGGGCAAACAGGUCGAGUAGUGCCCUGCACCCUCGUCACCUCGCGUCAUCGCGCGCGAGGUAGUAUAGCGAUGCUGCAGCAGCCAUUGUGCACCAUCACCCCGCGUCGUCGUAACAAAGUCCACUGUUCUCUGGGCGGAUGAGCCGCGCUUGCAGGGAGGAGGACGGCCGAUAAGCUGCUUCGCCACGGAGGAGGGGGUGUAUAUAUUUCGUUAUAGGGAUCAUCAGCGUUCAUCAUUUAUCCGAGCGUGUCGGUCAUUCUCGGGGCACGCAGGCAAGCCGCCAGCAGCGCGUCGGGAAACAACAACAACAACAACAACAACAAUUACAACCACAACAACAACAAUUGGCUUCAUCUCAAUACCAGCCAAGGUACGUUUAUGUAUGUGGCAUCUUUUUUUUAUGUAACGGGUAGCCGCACGA